UGUCAGUUAGGUUGCUUUUAUGUCCCAUCAGCCCAUCUGCCUGCUUUCACCCUUAACUGAGUUUCUUAUAAUCCAGGCAUAUUGGAUUUUUAUUCCUGGACUCUUAGUUCUUUCCAUGGUCAUCAACACCUUUAUGGAGGAAGGGGCUCAAAAAGGCUAUAAUAUCAGGCUGCCUCCUGUCCUAAGAAAAGCUACAAAGAUUCUUAUCAAUGUACUUCCCCACUAGCUCCCAGCCCUGACAAUGACUGCAACUCCUAUGCCUGAGAAGUCCUUAGAAGCCCAAGAAAGAAGAGGGCUGGGGCCCAGCUUAAUCACAAGGGUCCUGUGCCAGGAAGGCAGAGGGUCAGAGUUAGAGAGGAAUGUGACGAUGGAAAGAAAGCUUAGAGUGAUGCGCCUGGAAGACAGUCGAAGGACCACAAGCCAAGGAACGCAGGUGGCCUCCAGAAGCCGGAAAAGACAAGCAGCUGCAUUCUCCCCAAGAGUCUCCAGGAGGAACAUACCCUUGCUGACACCUUGAUUUUGGCCUCAUGAGACUUCUGACCUCCAGAAAGGUAUAAAGAAAGGAGAAUGGAAUGACUUGGUUUAACACUACACUAUUUUCAAAGUGUAGCAGACUCCUAAUGGGGUUGUCAUGUAAAAGUGGAUGUAAAAAUUAAGCUGAUGUUGCCAGGUGCCUUCCCUAAGGGCCCAGAGUGGGCCCACAAUAUGGAUCCUGUGCCACGUGAGGCAGAGGGCAGAAAAUGGCAGCUGACAAAGGCAAAGUCAAUGACCCUCAGCGUCUGAGUGGAGGAAGGUGACAAAACAACACCAUGGGGGGCCAAAGAUGUCAAGACAAGAUGAAAGGAAGGACUGGUGGAACAUGGCACUUGGCAAGACUGGUAGUGCUUUUUAUUUACUUAUUUCAUUUCAUUUUAUUUUUUUGGCCACACCACGUGGCUUGUGGGAUCCUAGAUCCCCAACCAGGGACCAAACCUGAGCCCUCGACAGUGAAAGUGUGGAGUCCUAUGACUGGACCACCAGGGAAUUCCCUGGCUAGUGAUUUUUAAAAUCUGAGCUUAGGGCUUCCCUGGUGGUGCAGUGGUUAAGAAUUCGCCUGCCAAUGCAGGCGACACGGGUUCGAGCCCUGGUCCAGGAAGAACCCACAUGCCGCGGAGCAACUAAGCCCGUGCGCCACAGCUACUGAGCCUGCACUCUAGAGCCUGCGAACCACAACUACUGAGCCAGCGUGGUGCAACUACUGAAGCCCCACGUCUAGAGCCCGUGCUCCGCAACAGGAGAAGCCACCGCAAUGAAAAGCCCGUGCACCGCAAUGAAGAGUAGCCCCCACUUGCCACAACUGGAGGAAGCCCAUGUGCAGCAACAAAGACCCAACACAGCCAAAAAUAAAUAAAAUAAAAUAAAAUAAAAAAGAAUCCGCCUGCCAAGGAAGGGGACAUGGGUUCAAGCCCUGGUCUGGGAAGAUCCCACGUGCCACACAGCAACUAAGCCCGCGAACCACAACUACUGAGCCUGUGCUCUGCAACAAGAGAAGCCACCACAAUGAGAAGCCUGCGCACCGCAAAGAAGAGUAGCCCCCUCUUGCUGCAACUAGAGAAAGCCCGCGCACAACAACAAAGACCCAACACAGCCAAAAAAAAAUAAGAUAAAUUAAAAAAAAAUCUGAGCUUAAAUUAACAGAUGCAGUUUUGAGUUUGACUAACCCUCAACCUUGUAUUAGUCCUAAACUAAAAAUAAUCGAUGCCCCCAAAUCUCCUUGCCUUAUGCUAGAAAUACGCACACACAGGGAUGAUAGGUAAAAAGAAGUGGGACAGGAUGACUGGGACCCAGGGCUAAGGAUCAGAUGGGAACCAGAACCUCUUUAUAAGGUUAACCCUGAGAAGUCCAAAAGUAAACUGUCACAAUUAUGAUCAACUGAUUUGCAAUAAGGGUGCUAAGACAAUUCAAUGCGGAAACAAUAGUCUUUCAACAAAUGGUGCUGGGACAAAUGGAUAUCCACAUGCAAAAUAAUGAAGUUGAAUAGGAGAAAAUAUUUGUAAGUCAUAUGUCUGAGAAGGGACUUGUAUUUAGAAUAAAGAACUCCUACAACUCAACAAUAAAAAGACAAAUAACCCAAUUAAAAAAUGGACGAAGGAUCUGAAUAGACAUUUUGUCAAAAAAGAUACAAAUGGCCAAUAAAUAUAUGAAAAUUAGCCAUCAGGGUAAUGCUUACAAAACCACAAUGAAAUACUAUUUCAUACUUACUAAGUUGGCUAUAAUAAAGAAGAUGGAUGAUAACAAUAUCCUUUUUUCCAGUAUCCUUGGUGAGGAUGUGUAGAAAUUAGAACCUUCAUACUUUGCUGGUAGGAAUGUAAAAUGGUACAGUGAAAAAGUUUUUGAAAAACUUCUGCAGUUCCACAAAAAGUUAAACAUAGACUUACCAUAUAACUCAGCAAUUCUACUCCAAGGUAAAUGCCCAAGAGAGCUGAAAACAUGUCUAUACAAAAACUUGUAUAUGAAUGUUCAUAAUACUGUUAUUUGUAAUAACCAAAAAGUGGAAAUAACCUAAGUGUUUGUCAACUUAUGACUGGAUAAACAAAAUGUGGUAUAGCCAUAUGAUGGAGUAUUAUUCAGUCAUAAAAAGUUAAAGAAGUAGAAAGGAAAUUCUGACAAAUGCUAUGACAUGAAUGACAAGGUUAUUGAGCAUAUUAUGCUAAGUGGAACAAACCAGUCAAGAAAGGACACUGUAUGAUUCAACUUAUAUGAGGUUCCUGAGGAGUCAAAUUCAUAGAGACAAAAUACAGUGGUGGUUGCAGAGGGUGGGAGAAGGAAAAUGGGGAAUUCCUGUUUUAUGGGAAUAGAGUUCAGUUUUAUAAGAUGAAGAGAAUUCUGGAGAUUGGCUGUAGAACCAAUGUAGACAUAUUUAAAAUAUUGAAAUGUACAUUUAAAGAUGGUUAAGGGAAUUCCCUGGUGGUCCAGUGGUUAGGACUUGGUGCUUUUGCUGCCAUGGGCCCAGGUUCAGUUCCUGGUUGGGGAACUAAGAGCCUGAAAGCUGUGUGGUGCGGCACACCCCCUCCCCCCACCAAAAAAAAAAAAAGGUUAAGAUGGUAAAUUUUAUGUUAUGUGUAUUUUCCCACAAUAAAAAAAAAGUAAUGAAGUCUAAUGAUACAUACUAUGACAUGGAUGGCCUUGAAAACGUUAUGCUAAGGGAAAGAAGCCAGACACAAAAGACCACAUAUUGUAUGGUUCCAUUUAUAUGAAGUUCCAGAAUAGGCAAAUCUAUAGAGCUAGAAGUAGAUUAGUAGUUUUCUCAGGCUGGGGGGGUCUGGGGGAAAUGGGCAGUGACUGCUAAUAGGUACAUGGUUUCUUUUCAGGGUGGUGAGAUGUUCCUAAAGUGAAUGUAGUAAUGGUUGCACAACUCUGGUAAUGUACUGAAAAUCACUGCAUUUUUGAAUGGGUGAAUUGUAUGGUAUGUAAAUUAUAUCUCAAUAAGGCUGUUAAAAAAUUAAGGUAAGAAGACUGAAAAUGAAUGAACUGCUUCUUUUUAAAAAUUAUUAUUGUUAGGUUCUGUGAUCUAACAAUAUCUAACAAUAUCUAGUUGAUGACUGCUUUCCCUUAAUGAACUGUAGGAACAUAAGGCUGUGCUAUGACAGAACAGGGGAGGAGUGCUAUUCACAAACAGGAAUACAGCUAACUCAAUUGAAGAAGUGAGAAAAAAUGUCUGCAGGCUUGAAAGAAAAAAAAUAACCCAGCAGCAGAUAUUUUUAGAAGAUACUUCAAAAAAAGUUGUAAUAGGUCAAAUACAUUUCUAGAAAAACAAAGCAACUAAAAUCCUUCAAUACAAGGGGCUUGCAAAAAGGUCUUUAAGGUUUUUCUCAAACUAAGUCCUGCAUUGUUUAAUCACUUUAUAACCGCGUUUGAUCUCUUGACAAGAUAAUUUGGAAGUCCAAAUGUGCAUUUCAACUUGCUUCUCAUCAUUCUGUACUUGAUCAUGCUCUGGGACGUUAACAUAGACAAUACCUGCAAAGAUGUUUAAGAGUAGAAUAGACUGUACCAUAAAAAUGACAUUAAAAAGGACAAUGGUCUGCCUGAAACAGGAAGGAAAUCCUGUCACAUGGUACAGCAUGGAAGAACCUUGAGGAUAUUAUGCUAAGUGAAGCAAGCCAGUCAUAAAAAGAUAAAUACUAUAUGAUUCCACUUAUAUGAGGAUCCUAGAGUAGUCAAAUUCAGAGACAGAAAGUAGAAUGGUGGUUGCCAGGGGCUGGGGAAGGGGGAUGGGGAGUUAGUGUUUAAUGGGUAUAGAGUUUCAGUUUGUUCUGGAGAUCUAUUGUGCAAUAAUGUGAAUAUUCUGAACCAUAUACUUAAAGAUGGUUACGAUGGUAAAUUUUAGGUUAUGUAUUUUUCACCAUAAUUUAAAAAGUUUAAAAAGGACAGUGCUGAGUUACAAGCCUUAAUAAAAAUUUCAUUUUUAUUGUAUUAAGGUAUGACUGACAUGGAAAGAAUUUUCAAAUUUGAUAAAGAAACUUGCUGGCUUGUGUUUAUCUUUACUUUUUACUCCUGCUGGAGUAUAAUGAAAACAGAUCACUUGGUUUAAUUUUGUGAUUAUUUUUACUUCCUGGUUCCUGCCUGAUUAUGCAAUGCUUUUGGUUACAAAUAGAAAAAAAGGAAAGUUUAUGUGCUAGUCUAUUAUUUUUGCCUCUAUUAUGGCAUUACAUUAAAGAGGACUGGACUGAGAAAUAUUUCUACUUAUAUAAGUUUUUAUACAGAUUUAUUUCUAAACAAAUUGAAAUUCUGGGGCCUUGGCCACUAAGUAAGGCAUCUUCCCUAAGGUCUAUGAGCUGAUGCUGCUUUAUACUUCCAAGUGUAUUAUUUUAACUGGUUUUACAAUACACUAGCUUCCUCUUUCAACAAACCUAAAAGGUCACAGAAUCUAUCUUGAGUAAUACACAAAAUAUUUCAUAGAUUUUUUGAUUUUAUCACAUUAACUCUAAAAUGUAACCACUGCUUGGAACUGUGACAAUUUGAUACAAGAUAAGCCAAAAAGGACAGAUGUUCAUUACAAUCAUGUACAAUGGGUCACUCUGAGAACAGCUACUAGCUAUUCCAUACUUAUACUAUGUGCGUUCCUGAGAUACCGUCUCUGUUUUUAGACAAUAAUCAUACAUAUGCAUUUUUCCAUACAUAUGCAUUUCUGUGUGUUAAAGGCAUGACAACAUUCAUUUUCUUGUUUUUAAAAAAUAAAUUUAUUUAUUUU